GUGGGGAAUAUUGGACAAUGGGCGAAAGCCUGAUCCAGCAAUGCCGCGUGAGUGAUGAAGGCCUUAGGGUUGUAAAGCUCUUUUACCCGGGAUGAUAAUGACAGUACCGGGAGAAUAAGCUCCGGCUAACUCCGUGCCAGCAGCCGCGGUAAUACGGAGGGAGCUAGCGUUGUUCGGAAUUACUGGGCGUAAAGCGCACGUAGGCGGCUUUGUAAGUUAGAGGUGAAAGCCUGGAGCUUAACUCCAGAACUGCCAUUAAGACUGCAUCGCUUGAAUCCAGGAGAGGUGAGUGGAAUUCCGAGUGUAGAGGUGAAAUUCGUAGAUAUUCGGAAGAACACCAGUGGCGAAGGCGGCUCACUGGACUGGUAUUGACGCUGAGGUGCGAAAGCGUGGGGAGCAAACAGGAUUAGAAACCCUUGUAGUCC
rnacentral:rRNA from 1 species